UACGUAGGGUGCAAGCGUUAAUCGGAAUUACUGGGCGUAAAGCGUGCGCAGGCGGCUUUGCAAGACAGACGUGAAAUCCCCGGGCUUAACCUGGGAACUGCAUUUGUGACUGCAUGGCUAGAGUGCGGCAGAGGGGGAUGGAAUUCCGCGUGUAGCAGUGAAAUGCGUAGAUAUGCGGAGGAACACCGAUGGCGAAGGCAAUCCCCUGGGCCUGCACUGACGCUCAUGCACGAAAGCGUGGGGAGCAAACAGG
rnacentral:rRNA from 1 species